CCCGGCCGGCCUGCGGCCUUCACCUCACGCCUGCAGCCUUCGCCUCCUCGCCAGGCCUCACCCCGGCACGGUGCCCCGGGUCGGCCGCGGAGCCGACUCGGGGCCCCUCGGCCGCCUCCGGCACAACCGGGCGACCCUCCCCCAACCCCCGCCCGCUUACGGAGCGCGCCUCCGCCGCCGCUCGGGGCAGCCGGGCUCCUCCCCGGGCCUAACUGCGGCCUCCUCGGGGCCUGCUCGGCGCCGCACGCCACGCCGCCCGGCCUAGCGCGGGAGGGCGCCUUGCGGGCCGCCGACCAGGCCAAGACCAGGCCGCUGUGCACGCACUAGGCCCCGCGGCCGCGGCGGCACCCGGGACUCACCGGACGGGCGUGCAGGCGGCCGGCGACGGUGGCGGGUGCUGCAGGCCGGCCUUUCUCUGGAGCACUGGGCCGGGCUCCGGCUGGUGGGGCGGGCGGAGGGAGGGAGGAGGGGCCGAGCUCGGAGCUGACAAAAAGCGGCCCAGCUCCCCGGCACGGGCCCGCCGUCAGCACGUCACGUCACCGCCCGGGAGAGAGACCCAGGAAAAUGCGGAAGGGUAGACAGGCCCCCUCCUCCGCCCGAGCUUGGGGAGCCUGUGAAAUGUAAGACUGGUGUCAUCGUUUCAUAAAUCAUGAAUUUUCCACAUUCCUUAAUAGAGAGGAGCCCAAUUGGGUCCUUGAGCCAGAAACGAUAGAAGGCCUUUCAAUCAUUUUCCCGGAGAAAGAUUAGUCAAAAAAGAAGCUGUUGAUUUUCACUCCACAUCAGAGACUGAUGAGAAUUCAAAUAAGAAGUAAUACAUUAUUGGCUUAUGAGAAUAUGUACACCUUCUUGAAUAAAGUUGUGGUUAUUCUGUUUUUUUUUUUUUUUCUUGUAUCCCAAACAUUAAAAAAUAUUUAUCUUCCCC